AGUGAACGCUGGCGGCAGGCCUAGCACAUGCAAGUCGAGCGGCAGCGCGGGGGCAACCCUGGCGGCGAGCGGCGGACGGGUGAGGAAUUCGUCGGAAUCUGCCUUUUUGUGGGGGAUAACGUAGGGAAACUUACGCUAAUACCGCAUACGUCCUACGGGAGAAAGUGGGGGACCGCAAGGCCUCACGCAGAAAGAUGAGCCGACGACCGAUUAGCUAGUUGGUGGGGUAAAGGCCCACCAAGGCGACGAUCGGUAGCUGGUCUGAGAGGAUGAUCAGCCAUACUGGGACUGAGACACGGCCCAGACUCCUACGGGAGGCAGCAGUGGGGAAUAUUGGACAAUGGGCGCAAGCCUGAUCCAGCCAUGCCGCGUGUGUGAAGAAGGCCUUCGGGUUGUAAAGCACUUUUGUCCGGAAAGAAAUCCCUGGAGCUAAUACCUUCGGGGGAUGACGGUACCGGAAGAAUAAGCACCGGCUAACUUCGUG
rnacentral:rRNA from 1 species